rnacentral:rRNA from 1 species
CCUAGGGUGGCAGCAGUGGGGAAUAUUGGACAAUGGGCGAAAGCCUGAUCCAGCCAUGCCGCGUGUGUGAAGAAGGCCUUCGGGUUGUAAAGCACUUUCAGUGGGGAAGAAAGCCUUGGGGCUAAUACCCUCGAGGAAGGACAUCACCCACAGAAGAAGCACCGGCUAACUCCGUGCCAGCAGCCGCGGUAAUACGGAGGGUGCGAGCGUUAAUCGGAAUUACUGGGCGUAAAGCGCGCGUAGGCGGUCUGAUAAGCCGGUUGUGAAAGCCCCGGGCUCAACCUGGGAACGGCAUCCGGAACUGUCAGGCUAGAGUGCAGGAGAGGAAGGUAGAAUUCCCGGUGUAGCGGUGAAAUGCGUAGAGAUCGGGAGGAAUACCAGUGGCGAAGGCGGCCUUCUGGACUGACACUGACGCUGAGGUGCGAAAGCGUGGGUAGCAAACAGGAUUAGAUACCCUGGUAGUC